CCUACGGGUGGCAGCAGUGAGGAAUAUUGGUCAAUGGACGCAAGUCUGAACCAGCCAUGCAGCGUGCAGGAUGACUGCUCUAUGAGUUGUAAACUGCUUUUAUACAAGGGUAAAGUGCGAUACGUGUGUCGGGUUGAAUGUAAUGUAUGAAUAAGGAUCGGCUAACUCCGUGCCAGCAGCCGCGGUAAUACGGAGGAUCCGAGCGUUAUCCGGAUUUAUUGGGUGUAAAGGGUGCGUAGGCGGUUUGAUAAGUUAGAUGUGAAAGUUCGCGGCUCAACCCCGAAACUGCAUCUAAAACUGGUGGCCUUGAGAAUAGUUGAGGUAGGCGGAAUGCAUGGUGUAGCGGUGAAAUGCUUAGAGAUCAUACAGAACACCGAUUGCGAAGGCAGCUUACCAAACUAUAUCUGACGUUGAUGCACGAAAGCGUGGGUAUCAAACAGGAUUAGAUACCCGGGUAGUC
rnacentral:rRNA from 1 species